CGGGGUAUAGCUCAGAUGGCUAGAGCGCUACGUUCGGGACGUAGAGGUCGCCUGUUCAAGUCAGGUUACCCCGA
rfam:Candidate division WS6 bacterium 36_33 MPI_scaffold_969, whole genome shotgun sequence.